UACGAAGGGGGCUAGCGUUGCUCGGAAUCACUGGGCGUAAAGGGUGCGUAGGCGGGUCUUUAAGUCAGGGGUGAAAUCCUGGAGCUCAACUCCAGAACUGCCUUUGAUACUGAAGAUCUUGAGUUCGGGAGAGGUGAGUGGAACUGGCGAGUGUAGAGGUGAAAUUCGUAGAUAUUCGCAAGAACACCAGUGGCGAAGGCGGCUCACUGGCCCGAUACUGACGCUGAGGCACGAAAGCGUGGGGAGCAAACAGGG
rnacentral:rRNA from 1 species